GUGUCUUGAUGCAGAUUUCCAGAAACCAAAGGCAUCCUUCUCAUGAAAGAUUAAUUUGUAAAUGCCAAGAUUCCCAGAGAAAUUAACUGUGCAUAUAUGAAACAAGGAAGACACCAUUGGUCUAGUGGGGAACACCAGAUUGGAAAACCUCAGAGAACAAAUGCAGCCAGUAUAACCUCUGGAGAAUCAUCCCUCAGUUCUACCGGAAGGGGAAAUAUGUGAGAUGCAAGGACACCGCAAUGACAUGGACUUUCAGACCCAAGGAAUCAGAUCAUUUUAAGUAAUUGUUUUAUCAAAAGCCUGCGUCCCCAGGGGGACCUGCCUGUGGCCAUAUGGAGCUCAACAUAGCCUCCUCUCAGCAGGACAGCCUCUCUGCUCCUUCCAGUGUCUGGACGGCAAUGACACAAUUCCUGGUGGUGUUCUGACCCCCGACUGCUGAUGUAAGCGACACAUUGGAGGAGCAACUGAAAUCUGGGACAAGUAGUGACAUCUUGCUACCUCUGAGGACAGGCCUUCUAGGAUGCAAGCAGUGAAACAAAACUGAGACCCUGCAAACUAAUUAGCCUCCCUCGUUUUAUUUCCCUUGCUGUCUGAAUAGUCAAAAGAAAAAGG